AACGAACGCUGGCGGCAUGCCUAACACAUGCCAGUCGAACGAGGCCUUCGGGUCUAGUGGCGCACGGGUGCGUAACGCGUGGGAACCUGCCCUUAGGUUCGGAAUAACUCCCCGAAAGGGGUGCUAAUACCGGAUAAUGUCUUCGGACCAAAGAUUUAUCGCCUUUGGAUGGGCCCGCGUUGGAUUAGCUAGUUGGUAGGGUAAAAGCCUACCAAGGCGACGAUCCAUAGCUGGUCUGAGAGGAUGAUCAGCCACACUGGGACUGAGACACGGCCCAGACUCCUACGGGAGGCAGCAGUGGGGAAUAUUGGACAAUGGGCGAAAGCCUGAUCCAGCAAUGCCGCGUGAGUGAUGAAGGCCUUAGGGUUGUAAAGCUCUUUUACCCGGGAUGAUAAUGACAGUACCGGGAGAAUAAGCUCCGGCUAACUCCGU
rnacentral:rRNA from 1 species